AAAGAAUUUAUCGGGAAUUUUCACAAGGGAUUCAUUGUCUUGCAAAAGUAAAGAUGUUGUCUUUGGGCAUUUCAUGAAGCAAUCAGAAGUCAUGCUAGAUGCUCAUAGAAAUAGGUGGAUAGAAGCCAUGGAAGACAAAAUGAAGUCACUUCACGAGAAUGGCACAUAUGAGCUAGUGGAGUUACCGAAAGAAUUGCAGUCCUCAAGAAGGAGUUGAGCAAAGAGUUCGCGAUGAAGGAAUUGAGGCCAACAAAGAAGAUUUUAGGAAUACAAAUUCAUCAAGAUAGACACAAAAAGGAGUUAUCAUUAUCCCAGAAGAAGUAUAUUGAGAAAGUACUCAAGAGGUUCAAUAUAACAUAUGCAAAAGUGGUUAGUACGCCUCUUGCUAAACACUUUAAGUUGAGUAUGUCCUAGAGUCCAUCUACUAAUGAAGAGAAGAAGGAGAUUUCAUGUAUUCCAUACUCUUCUGUGGUUGGUAGUUUGAUGUAUGUUGUGGUUUGCACUAGACCAGAUAUAUAUUGCAUAUGUUAGUAUGGAAAAGAUCAUUGGGUUGUAGUGAAAUGGAUACUAAGAUAUUUGAAGGGUACUUUAGAUAUGGAGUUAUGCUUUGGUAGUGGAAAGCUUGAACUUGUAUGCUACACAAGCUCUGAUUUAGGAGGAAAUCUUGGCAAUUCAAAAUCAACUUCUAGUUAUUUGAUCACUUUUGGAGGGGGGCUUAUUUCUUUACAAUGAAGACUACAGAAAUGCAUAGCUCUAUCUACCACAUAAGCUGAAUAUAUUGCAAUCAUUGAAGGUGUCAAAGAAUUGCUUUGGAUAAAGGAGUUUAUCAAAGAUCUUGACUUUGAACAAUUAAUAUUUGUCUUAUUUUGUGAUAAUCAAAGUGUUAUUUAUUUCA